UUAAUUUUUUUAUUUUUAUUUAUUAUUUUUAGACGUGGAGUCUUGCUCUGUCACCAAGGCUGGAGUGCAGUAGUGCUGUCAUAGCCCACUGUAACCUCGAGCCCCUGGACUCAAGCCGUCGUCCUGCCUCAGCCUCCUGAGCAGCUAGGACUACAGUUAUAGGUUUCAAUUUUAUGGAAGAUCUUAAGAGAAAGUAAGAGAUCACCCUGACUAGUAUAACCUAGCAAAGAACAAAGCACCUGAAGAAAGAACAAAUGGGAAGUCACAAGCUCAGAUCAACCUCCUGUCGUGCCUGGAGAGGGGCCCUAAAACCACAUCACAUGAAAAACAGCAGAGGAGGCUAGGUAAACUUAACCUAGCGGGCGGAGAACCUAGACCACACAAGCACUUUCUUCAAACAUUUGAAGCGUGUUCGUAGACAAGAGGAUUAGACUUCCCCUGUAUAGCAGCAUAGAUUUUGGCUUGAUAUAAUGACAAACCUAAAAAAGAAUUAUAAUUGCCCAAAUAGGCAAUGGCUGCCUUAGGAAAAAAUGUAAUAUGUAUCACUGAGGAUUUUCAGAUAAAGCUGAACACUAACAUAAGUAGGAAAUGUUAUAGUACUUUUUAACCAGAAAUUUCUGUAGUAUUUUCUAGAAGAACUACUCCUCUAGCCCCACAGUUUUCCUUUCUUCCCCUUAUAAUUCCUACAGUGAUAUUUUUUCUAUUAUGUAAGCCUCACUUUUAAUGAGAGUAGUCCACUGAUAAACACACUGACCAUUUCUUUUUUGAAUAUACUUUGUAUUUUAGUUUACUGAUAAUGUCUCUGGGAAUAAAUCUGAACAAGAUGGUCUUUAAAAUCCCCACAUUUUAAGAUUGGCCAACUGACCCAAAAUAGUAAGUCCUCUCUAAGGUUCUUAUCCAAAACUUUGCCAUUUCCCUUACCACUGAUGUUACCGGAAAAUAAAACUCUUCAGUGUAUUGAAUAUGUCUACACAUUUUAGUAUAUUUUAAAUUAUUCUGUCCCUAUUUUUUGUUAAAACAAAAGUUAAUUUUUUCCAUGCAGAAAUGUAUGUGGGUGUCUUUUAAACUGCCUGAGCGAGCUCAGAUCAAUAAAGUUUGAAAAACAUUGCUCUAGGGAUAUUUCUUUUACUUUGCUUUUUUUUCCUGAAUAAUGUAUAUCCUACCUGUCUCCAAGAAAGGUUUAAGAUAAGCCACCAAAUAUAUACACAAUAACCAUACAGCGAUCUUUUAAAAGAUGAAUGAGUACGUGAGAAGAAAAGUUUGGGUGAGAAAUGUAAAACAAAGUUGGGAGGGAGUGGUCCAAACAGGCCUUCUUGCCUUAGGGUUGGCAGUCAAGGAAGGGCACAGGUACACACAGUUCUUUGACUCAUGGGUACAUAAGAUAUGACAACCAACGUCUCCACAAAAAUGUAGGUGUUCCCAUUACAGAGAUAAGAUGGAAAUGCCUCACAGAACUGCUCACUGAGGAAUACUGUGGAAUGUCAGAAACACACCCUCAUUAGUAAAUACAACAACAUUAUUUCACUUUUUAUAUAGAUGUAAAUUACCAACAAAACCCUGAUAGCUCCCUCAGGCACCCCAAACCCUUCGGAAAUCCAAAUCCAAAUUCCUAGCCUGAAAGAUUCACAUUUUGUGGAAAAAGCAAACCUUUAAAAA